rnacentral:tRNA from 2 species
GGCCCCAUAGUUAAAUGGAUAUAACAAGGACCUCCUAAGUCUUAGUUCCAGGUUCGAUUCCUGGUGGGGCCACCA